rnacentral:rRNA from 1 species
UUAUGGUUCCUUAGAUCGUACUACAUUUACUUGGAUAACUGUGGUAAUUCUAGAGCUAAUACAUGCAAACAGAACUCCUUCCGGAUACGGAGGGAGUGCUUUUAUUAGAUCAAAAUCAAUCGGCGGCAGUUCCAAUACUCUUGGCUGCUCCGUCGCACUAUUGGUGAAUCUGAAUAACUUUUGGCAGAUCGCACGGUCUUGCACCGGCGACGCAUCUUUCAAAUGUCUGCCUUAUCAACUGUCGAUGGUAGGUUCUGCGCCUACCAUGGUUGUAACGGGUAACGGGGAAUCAGGGUUCGAUUCCGGAGAGGGAGCCUGAGAAACGGCUACCACAUCCAAGGAAGGCAGCAGGCGCGCAAAUUACCCACUCCCGGCACGGGGAGGUAGUGACGAAAAAUAACGAUACGGGACUCAUCCGAGGCCCCGUAAUCGGAAUGAGUACACUUUAAAUCCUUUAACAAGGACCAAUUGGAGGGCAAGCCUGGUGCCAGCAGCCGCGGUAAUUCCAGCUCCAAUAGCGUAUAU